AUAAAAUGGAAUGAGUGCUUUCAUUUGUUAUCCAGAGGCUACAAGCUACUUUCCUUUGUGUAUGUUGUUUAAGGGUCAUAAAUUCUUGUUCCAGACAGAAAAUGAGCAGCUUGAAAGUUUGAACUCCUUGGUGUCAGUAAGUUAAGAUGUUUGCAUAUUUUGGCAGUGAUCUGGAUUUGUGUCAUCACUACAUAUACGGCUCAGUUGCCUUUUUGGCUUACUUUUGACAUCUCUUCCUUUUCUCCCCUAAAUCCAAGGAUCAUGGUGCUAGGAAUAGGGCAACGGUGGUAAUCAGGGAGCUGAUCAAAGUUGUUGACCAUUCUGCCAGUAUAGCCUCCCUAGAAGCGUGCCUAUUUUCUUGAAACACAUUUAUUGGAAGCUAAUUUGCAUCAGCUGUUUCUUUGGGAUAAACGAGGCUCUUUUGAACCCACAUGUCUGUUGUUUCCUAGUCCUUUUGGUAGAAACUGUAUUUCUAGAAGAAAUGGUUACCUGACUUUGCAGCUGGUUCGUUAAGAGUCACCUGGCUUUAAGGUUACAGUUCUGCAGGAGUUUGCAGGAGUUUGCAGAGACUUGUGGACCAAAUCCAUAGGAAAAUCAAGGUUUUCCUUAACUGUAAGGAAUUCUGUUUUCUUUUGCUUGCUGAGAAAUGUUCCGCUUUUUCCAGGGUGGGGUGGGAGGAGAGAAAGAAUUUUUCUCCCCAUUUCUUGUAGGUGAAGCCUGAAGUUAAGGCAUGUUUACUUUGUUCUCUGCUUUUCUCAAUCUGCUACUCUCCUCGCUACCUGUGUGUCCACUCUAUGCCAUUAGUGCUAGAACCCCAGCUAAAGGAGGAGAAAGUCUCUGUUGGAUUAUGGAAAGCUGUUUCACUCUAUAAAAUUAAAAGUUUCACUUUUGUAUUUUUUUGUCACGUGGACCCUUUUGUCCUUUUCCCUUCCCAUGGAUGUGACAGCUAGAGAAUGGGGACUCUAUAAUAUAGGGAAAUUCAUCUUGAGGUUUGUAUGACCAGAAGUUUCACAGCACAUGAUAUUUCCUUCACAACCCUUUUUCACAUAAAUCAGAAUUUGUCAGGGAGAAAUUAGUAGAUACCAAAAAUCAAUU
rnacentral:lncRNA from 1 species